UGGGGAACAUCCCUGGGUCUCAGCUCACAGAGUAACCCAGUUCAUCCAAAAGAAAAAAAAAAAAAGGAUCCUGAAUGACAAAUUAUUUCUAGCACAAUUCAGAGCUGCUUGCCCUGUCUGGUCCCCAGCAUUCUCUGCUCCUGCACUGUGGAUACUGUACCCUAAAAUAUAUAGUCCCUUAUCUGAUAAAGCCUAUGCCUGAGGCUCUGAGCUUGUUUCACCCUAGCCCUGCCCUGCCUGCAUCUCUUAGACUGAGGACUUUCUCCAAAGCUGGGAAAGGAUCCCCUGCCCAGGCACAGGCAGCCUGCAAAUCCUGAAGGGUUAAGCGCUAAUUCUUGGGCUCCACCCCAGACUUACUGAAUCAGAAAUUCUGAGGACAGAGUCUAGCAAUCUGUAUUUCUAAAAGCCCUCUAGGUGAUGGUGACGCAUGUGCAACUUUGAGAAUGUCCAAUCUUGGCCAUAGCAAUCAGCCUCCUGGAUUAGAGGGCCAGAUGAAGUGGAGAGGGGGUCUGCGGGCACACAGGAUAUCAGCACAUUUUGUGAGACUUAUCUUCUCCCAAUCUAGGAAAAGCCACUGGGCUCAGGUGUAUUGGGGUCUUAGCAAAACCCAGAGGACUUUUUUCACAGUAGGUUUCUCUGCUGAUUCCUGGGGAGACAGAGCUGGGGGUGACAGAAUGGGUGCCUUAUUCAAUGCUCCUGACUCUCAGCCUCCAUUCUUCUUCACUGUCUCUGAGGGUGGCCAUUGCCUGGGUCCUACAGAUGCCUUGUGGUGCAGAAACCAUUGGUACCCUGCCACAGAAUAUUAAAUGUCCCCAGAACCUGCCCUCAAUUAAUGACUGAUGGAAGUGGGUAUAUACAUACCCCAGCUCCCUCUCUGCUUAGGUAGAAUGACUCCCAGAGCUCCUCAGCCGAAUUAAGCCUCAACUUGCUACAAUGGCAACUUGCUGAAUGACACACCCCUAUUAGAUUUCUUCUUUCUCUGUCUCACUUCCCACUCCCCUGCUGGUGUUUCCUGGGAUCACCCCCCCCCCCCACAACAACUACUUGCAUCCAAAUACAUAUCUCAUGUUCUUCUUUUGAAGAAAUCCAAAUAUACAGAAAAGUUGAGCAGAAAGUACAUCAUUCCCACGUACUCCCUCCCACCCACAUACUGUUUCCCCUAUUAUUAACAUCUUGCAUUAGUGUGGUACAUUCAUUACAAUUAACUAAUAUUGAUUUAUUAUUAUUAGCUAAAGUCCAUAGUUUAUUCAGGUUUGCUUUUUAUGUUGUACAGUUCUAUAGGAUUUGACAAAUGUACAAUGACAUAUAUCUACUAUUGCACUAUUGUAUAGAAUAGCUUCACUGCCUUAAACAUCCUCUAUGCUUCACCUAUUCAUCCUUCCCUCCUCCCAAGCCCCUGGAAACUACUGAUCUUUUUCCUGUGUCUAGAGUUUUAUCUUUUUCCAGAAUGUCAUAUAGUCAGAAUUGUACAGUAUGUAGCCUUUUCAGAUUGGCUUCUUUCACUUAGAAAUAUGCAUUUAAGUUUCCUCCAUGUCUGUUGCGGCUUGAUAACUCAUUUCUGCUUCUCACUGAACCAUAGGCCAUUGUAUGGAUAUCUAAUGAAUGCUCCUUGACUUACAGUGAGGUUAUA
rnacentral:lncRNA from 1 species